UAGGGAAUCUUCCGCAAUGGACGCAAGUCUGACGGAGCAACGCCGCGUGAGUGAAGAAGGAUUUCGGUUCGUAAAACUCUGUUGUUAGAGAAGAACAGCGCAUAGAGUAACUGUUAUGCGUGUGACGGUAUCUAACCAGAAAGCCACGGCUAACUACGUGCCAGCAGCCGCUGUAAUACGUAGGUGGCAUGCGUUGUCCGGAUUUAUUGGGCGUAAAGCGAGCGCAGGCGGUCAAUUAAGUCUGAUGUGAAAGCCCCCGGCUCAACCGGGGAGGAUCAUUGGAAACUGGUUGACUUGAGUGCAGAAGAGGAGAGUGGAAUUCCAUGUGUAGCGGUGAAAUGCGUAGAUAUAUGGAGGAACACCAGUGGCGAAGGCGACUCUCUGGUCUGUAACUGACGCUGAGGCUCGAAAGCGUGGGUAGCAAACAGG
rnacentral:rRNA from 1 species